rnacentral:antisense_RNA from 1 species
GAGGGGCGGCUCCCGCUAGCGCGUAGAGCGCCCGCAGAGCUGGGAAAAUCAGUCCGGUCCGAGAGGCCUGAUCUGAGAGGACCACAGGUGAAACUUCAUCUUUCUCUGAAACCAUCACGCCUUAGCCAAUCCUAACGAAAACGUAUAAGCUUUGUUGAGUUGGAGGGAAUCAUUGCUGUGAGAAGCUGACAGAGGUGGAUGACAAGCUAUUCCAGAGGAAAUAGCAUGUCUGUGAAACUCACCCAUGCCAUCUGGAAAGGAAAAAGUUAAGUUGCAUUUCUGCAAUACAUUCUCUCCCUUCCCUGAGGUGCUCCUGGAAUAUAAAGAAAGUAAGGAAAUAUUUACUGGGCCUUCAGCUUUCUGUAAUACUUUGGAACAGCACUAGCAUCUAUCUCAGGGUUUAAAAUAUGGAAGUUCUUGCCUUCCUUGAAUCUUUUCUCCCAGAAAUAACAUAUUGGCUCUCUUCCCUGUGACAUGCCUAAUCUGACAUUGGCUGGCUUUCAUACCAAACCUUUGUUUUAGCCUACUAUCAAUUCAACUUUUACGUUGACAAAACAUAAUUUUUGGUUGUCAAUGUAAAAGUUGACAUUUUCACAUUCAACUUUAUUUAAUUUAAAUGCUGAAUUUAAAUUUCAAUGCUGAAAAUUUAUUUAAGCACUUAAAAUGAUAUUAGAAGAGGUAUCUUAUGUUUUUAAACAGAGAUAUAUUUCAUUUUUAUAUGAAGUCAACAGAUCACAUGUGUAUGUCUCUUACAUGUUCUUGUGUGGGAAUAGCUUGAAUUACUACAUAAGCUCUCUGAGAAUAUUAAGUUCAUUUAGGGGAAUAGGACAUAUCUAUAUGAAAAACAGAAAUAAUACUACAAAUAAAAAAGAGAUCACAAGAUAACAUGUAAUGAAUUCUCAGUGAAUGACAUGUCAUGAAAUCAUCAGAAGAGAUGAGGAUAUGUGAAAAGCUUUAUGAAAUUAGUCAGAACCAUAAGGAAGAUUCGGUUUAGUUAAACAGAAAGACAUUUUUCCACUGUGGUAUUAAGUUUAAUAUGAUUUUCAUUGUUUGAAAAUACUCAUGGAGUAAGUUGAAAAUAUAAUUGCAUUCUUUUCAUUUAAUGUAUUGUAAAAUAUAUAAUCAAAAUGAUAUACUUGUAAAAUAAUUACUUAUAUAAUAAAAUCAAUAUACCUGUAAAAGAA